GAGGAAGGAAAACGAUUGUAAAUAGAGGAGAAGAAUAACAGAGAGUCAGCUAACAAGGGUAAUAGCCGGAAGGAAAAACAAAGUCAAAAAAUAGAAAAAGAUAAUCCCCGUAAGAACCCUAACAAUAUUCGACCAAAGAGUGGAGUGGUAGCAGAGAAAUAGAAUUAGUAGAUAAGAGGAUUGUAGGGAAAAGCAAAGCCGAGAACAAAAUGAAACCAAAUGGUACACAAAAGCCCUAACAAAAUCG
rnacentral:lncRNA from 1 species